rnacentral:rRNA from 1 species
UACUAGAGUAGCACUCGCAUAUCAAUAAGCGGAGGAAAGGAAACUAACAAGGAUUCCCCUAGUAACGGCGAGUGAAGCGGGAAGAGCUCAAAUUUGAAAUCUUAAAGGGUUUCCCUUUACGAAUUGUAGUUUAAAGAAGUGUUUUCUGUUGAGGUUUUGGUAAAAGUUCUUUGGAAUAGGACAUCAUAGAGGGUGAGAAUCCCGUAUUUGACCAUUAUUUUCAGCUGUGUGAUACACUUUCAAAGAGUCGGAUUGUUUGGGAAUGCAGUCCAAAAUGGGUGGUAAAUUUCAUCUAAAGCUAAAUAUUGGCGAGAGACCGAUAGCGAACAAGUACCGUGAGGGAAAGAUGAAAAGAACUUUGAAAAGAGAGUUAAACAGUACGUGAAAUUGUCAAAAGGGAAGCGUUUGACAUCAGUGUUGUUUUUCUGAAAAUCAAUUAAAGAACUGUUUAUGCUAAGUUGUUUAGACUUUAUCAGCUAUCUGUUUAGUUUUGAGCUUUUCUUUAAUGCACUUUUCAGUUAACAAGUCAACAUCAAUUUCUUUUGCUGUAAAAAAGCUUGAGGAAGGUGGCUUGAGAUUCGUCUUAAGUGUUUAUAGCCUCUUGCCUAUGCAGUCGGAGAGAUUGAGGUCUGCAGCGUAGAUCCUUCGGGGCUAAAUACAUUUGUGCUAAGUUAUAGCAUUUUAUAGACAACUUGUUGACUAUGAUUUGUCUUGUAGCUUACUCGCUUAUGUUAUUUUACCUACGCUUAGGAUGUUGAUAUCGCGCUCUCACUG